rnacentral:rRNA from 1 species
AUUGAACGCUGGCGGCAGGCCUAACACAUGCAAGUCGAGCGGAGCGGCGGACGGGUGAGUAAUGCUUAGGAAUCUGCCUGGCACUGGGGGAGAACGACCGGAAACGGGCGCUAAUACCGCAUACUCUCAGAUGAGCCUAGGUCGGAUUAGCUAGUUGGUGGGGUAGAGGCCUACCAAGGCGACGAUCCGUAACUGGUCUGAGAGGAUGAUUAGUCACACUGGAACUGAGACACGGUCCAGACUCCUACGGGAGGCAGCAGUGGGGAAUAUUGGACAAUGGGCGAAAGCCUGAUGCAGCCAUGCCGCGUGUGUGAAGAAGGUCUUCGGAUUGUAAAGCACUUUAAGUUGGGAGGCGUUACCAACAGAAUAAGCACCGGCUAACUUCGUGCCAGCAGCCGCGGUAAUUC